UAAAGAGUUCUAUAACUCCCAAACCCAUGUGAACAUACCUAACGUUGCCUCGGCAGGUCGCACCUACCUUGUAGCACCCUACCCUGUAGGGCCUACCCGGGAGGUGCGGGUAAGCCUGCCGGCGGCCCACCAAACUCUGUUUGAUAUUGAAUUCUGAACAUAUAACUAAAUAAGUUAAAACUUUCAACAACGGAUCUCUUGGUUCUGGCAUCGAUGAAGAACGCAGCGAAAUGCGAUAAGUAAUGUGAAUUGCAGAAUUCAGUGAAUCAUCGAAUCUUUGAACGCAUAUUGCGCCCAUUAGUAUUCUAGUGGGCAGGACCGUUCGAGCGUCAUUUCGACCCUUAAGCCUUAGUUGCUUAGUGUUGGGAGCCUACGGCAACGUAGCUCCUCAAAGUUAGUGGCGGAGUUGGUUCACACUCUAGACGUAGUAAUUUUUUAUCUCGCCUAUUAGUUGGACUGAUCCCCUGCCGUAAAACCCCCAACUUAUCAAGGUUGACCUCGAAUCGGUUCAGACAAACUCGCUAAAUUGAAGCAUCUUAGUCAGCGAAGGAAAAGAAACCAACAGGGAUUGCCCUAGUAACGGCGAGUGAAGCGGCAACAGCUCAAAUUUGAAAUCUGGCCCU
rnacentral:rRNA from 1 species